rnacentral:rRNA from 1 species
AUUCGUGCCAGCAGUUGCGGUUAUACAAAUAAUAUAAUUUAAUUAUUUUAGUGAUAAUUAAUUGAUAAUUAAUAAAGAUUUUAAGUUAAAAUUUAUAAGGUGAAAUUUUAAAUUUUAAUUAAAUUAAUAUUUAAUAAUGAAGUUAGGAAAUUUAAUAAAUAAACUAGGAUUAGAUACCCUAUUAUUUUAAAAGUAAUUUUAUAUACUAAAUUAUUAUUAGUUAAGUUCUUAAAAAUUAAAGAUUUUGGCGGUAUUUUAGUCUAUUCAGAGGAACUUGUUCUGUAAUUGAUAAUCCACGAUUUAAUUUACUUUUUUAAUUAAUUUGUAUAUCGUCGUAGUUUGAUUAUUUUAUAAGAAUAAGAAUAUUCAAAAUAUUAUAUUAAAUAAUAAAUCAGAUCAAGGUGCAGUUGAUAAAGAAGAAGAAAUGAGUUACGAUAAAUAUAUUUUGAGAUUAUUAUUUUUGAAAUAAUAUAAAUUUGGAUUUGAAAGUAAGUUUAAUUAAUUAAUUAAAUUGAUUUAAGCUCUAAAAUAUGUACACAUCGCCC